UAAGAGGUUCGCCUCUAUAUCUAGAUCUAUACCCGAACUCUUACCGAACUCGAGCGUCCUUAUUUAGAUAGCCAUACAUACUACUUUUGUGGGAACCAUGGCUCA
rnacentral:rRNA from 1 species